UCCCUGAUAGCUUACUGGUAAAGAAUCUGCCUGUGAUGCAGGAGAUCCCAGUUCAAUUUCUGGUUCAGGAA
rnacentral:tRNA from 1 species